rnacentral:lncRNA from 1 species
AAAGUGGCCCAAGUUGUAAAGUUUUAUUUUUAUUUAUUUAUUUAUUUAUUUACUUAGUUUAAAUUUUUAUGUAAAUAUUCAGUCCAAGAGUCCCAGAUAAAAAGACCUUUGACCGAAUUUCCAUAUUAAAAUAAUUAGGAGUUUUUUUUUUAUUUUAGUUUUCUAAUUAGAUUAGGACUAGUUAUAAGGCCUAUUUAAAGACAUAGCUGUCCACCUUGUUAUACACUUCUCAAAUAUAUUAAAAAUUUCAGAUUUGUUUAAGUGCAGAAUUCUCUUUGAGUUUUUCUCCAAGAAUUCUCUCUUGAGUUUUCUUUAGAGAUUGUUUAACAAUCUCUUGAUUGUGGGAGCUAUCUUCAACCUUCUUCUUGCCAUUUAUAUUCUUUGGAGGGGAGAUUAGAGCCGUUUGAAGGGGGUUGUGAGAUCUUUCGGGAUUUCAAGGCUUCUUAGGACUUAUCUUUUAAUUUCUUGCUGUCAAUUCUUUCUUUAUUUCUGCUUGUGCCGAAUAUUUAUCUAAUUUAUUUGCUGUUCUUAUUGUGUUUCCAGUUUUUUUUCUAUCUUAAAGAAUCAGCCAAAAAUCCCUAAUUUCUAGGGUUCUUGCCGAUUCCUCCAUACUUUUUUUGGGUGAAAUUAGAUUGUCGAAAUUUGGGGAAAACUAUCUUGGUGUUCAAUUGGGCAGAAUCGCGAUCUCCUUUAGGAUUUCAAGAACCCUUAUUAACACUUAUUUCUAUUCUCAAUUUGAUUCUUUGCUGAUUUGGGGAUUUUUAAUUUCAGAUCUGGAAAUUCAAAGUUCUAACCUUUUAAUUUUCUGUUUCGUUUCAGAUCUGAUUGUUUAGGGUUUUCGUAGGAGUUUCCCGUGACUUGGCAACUCGAUCUUGGUCCGCGCGCAACCCUAUAUCAUUUGGUAUCAGAUUUUGGGCGUUUUAGGUGUUUUUGGUUGAUUUUUAAACUGAUCUCUAUUUUUUAAAGCACAAACAGCAGUUUUACCCAGAAAAAUUGUUUGAAAAAAAUUAAUUUGAGUGGGUAAACGUUGUCCGAUUGAUCUGAAAUUUUACAUAGAUAUUUUUGGCACUGUGAUUGAAUAUAAAAAAAUUAAUCCCACAAAAAAAUCAGUCAAAAGAGUCAAAAAAUCAAAAAAAUAUGAAAUUCAAUAAAAAUUUUAAAAAAUAUUCAGCGGGUUGAAUUUGGUGCCCAAACUUUCCAGAUCAAAAAUUAAAUAUAUAAGGACAUUCCAGAUUUAAUUUUGUGAUUUUUGGAGAUCGGGAACACCUCGAAUGAAGUUGUCAAGUUACUCCGCAGUUUUCGGGUUUUUCUGUUUUCAGCAAUUUUUAUUGAUUCUUAGCUGUAGGUUUUCAUUUGUUUGCCUUUAUUCUUCCUUUACGCUAUCUAACACCUUCUUGUUUCUUGUGUUAUUAGGAUUUAAACGAGUGCACAACUUCUUCCUCGGUGCAACACAAAUCAAUUGGUGUCUCGUCAGUUUUUGGCAUCCUAGUGCAAAUUAGGAUUCUUUGGUAGUUUGGUUCACACUCUCUAAUUGGUUGAUAUAAACUUUGAUAAAGAACUCACAAGAUUGAAUUCUACCUCAUUGAGAAUUUGAAUUUUCUUUUUGAGUGAUUUACGGUGAGGUUUGCUAACUUUUAUUUUUGAGUGUUGAGUGUUUAUUUUUUACAGGUUUUUGAAAAUGUCUAAAGGUGAUAAUAAUGAUGACAUAUUUAAAAGAUUCCAACAACAGUUGGACGAACAGGCUACUACACUUCGAGCUUUGAAUACUACUUUGAAUGAGGUACGAUUGAAUCAAGAACCUCAAUAUCGAGAUCCAAUCAAGGAAGAUAGGGAUAACCAGCCCCAUAGGCGCGGCCCUCGACGUGUCCCUAGAAUGGAUGAUGAUUUUCAUGAUCGUGGGCAACCUUCUUUGGCAAAACCAAAGAGCGAGCAGCAACGAGAACAUCUCUUUCAUACUCGCUGCCAUGUACAAGGUAAGCUUUGUAGAGUUAUUAUUGAUGGUGAAAGUUGCUCGAACAUAGCCAGCACGACGAUGGUGGAAAAGCUUUGCUUAACCACUACCAAGCAUCCACAACCUUAUCAACUAUAAGGGCUUAGCAACGAAUGCCGAUUUAAGGUCACUCAACAAGUGCGCAUCGCCUUUUCUAUCCGUAAGUAUCAAGACGAAGUUGUGUGCGACGUAAUGCCUAUUCAAGCCUGCCAUUUGUUGCUAGGAGAACCAUGGCAACUGGAUCGAAAGGCCACUCACGAUGGUCGUACAAAUAGGUAUUCUUUCAAGCAUCAAGAAAGGAAAAUCACCUUAGUGCCGCUCACUCCGGAACAAGUCCAUGAGGACCAAAUCAAACUGAAAAAUUCUGUUGUUAAAACAAGUGAGGAAAAAGAAAAACAGAAUGAAAAAGAGCAAAAAGAGAUUGAGAGUGAAAAGGAAUGUGAAACAGAAAAGAAAAUUGAAAAAGAAGUUGAAGAAAGAAGAGAAAAUGAGUUAGAAAAAGAAACAAAAGAAAAAGAUGAGGAAAGGGUAGUGAGGAAUGUUUUCACUAACCAAGAUAUGAAUUUUUCUUGUGUUGCUACUUUUCAGGUUCCCGAAGGACCGAAAGAUAACUUUCAACUUCAAUACCUCUCAAAUGAAAGACGCUUUCGUAAGAUCAACAUAGGCAAAGAUGAAAUCACACUACAUGAGCCCGAAGGUAAGCGAGGUAAGGAAAUUUUAGCAACAAAGUCUCGUGCAGAUUUGAAAAUUAUUGAUAAAACUUUUGGUGACUUAGUUCUUAAAAGAUCCCCUUAUUUUGAUCCAAUUAAUUGUUAUUCUUCGAUUGUGGUUGAUAAAGUCAUUACAAAAGGAAGCGUGAGUUGCUAUUCUCUUGAUUUGCCUUGUGUAAAAUUCCCGAAUUUGUGCAAACCUGUUUUGGUAAAUAAGGUAACGAAAUUUGUCAAAUUUAUUUUCAAUUUAUAUUCGUGCCUUAAACAGUUUAUGUGGUUGUACAUGAAGUUUGAGUUCCAUUUCACAAAGGUCAACUCAACAACGGAGCUUCGACUACACUAUGCCCCCGAUGAGCGAAGGUUUGUAUUAACUGGAAAAGGUAAAAUCGACCCUUAUUCUUCUGCUUAUAAAGGUACGAUGCUUGAAACUUUUGAAACACUUCUGUACUCUUCCGAUAGUGACAAAGAUCGUGUUGAUUUAGAUCGAUAUGUGCUUGACUGUCCCAUCUUGCUUAUUGAUGAUCUAUCUAUUUUGAUGGUUGAUAAAAAAAUUAUUUUUUUUUAUAAUUUUUAUGAUGCAUGCGUGAGUUAAUAUAUAGUCCGUCAAUUAAUGCAUGGUAAUCUGAGUCUGUCCAUUCGCAUGCGUUAUAUCUGUUUUGUUAUGCUCAUGAUUGGAUUACAAACUUGUUUGCGUUGCUAUUUACUAUUUCAUGGCUAUUCUUUUCAGUGGACUCAAUUGCCAUUAGUCCCGUUCGAUCGCGAAAAGUCGAGUCCAUUUGACUUUUCAGAUUCGAGGACGAAUCUUUUUGAGGAAGAGGGGAAUGAUAGAGUCAAAAGGCCCAACCCAAGCUCAAGAAUGUGAUGGGCCCAAUCAAGAAAUCUAUCCAUACUUAGUUGAAAAUCAGGCCAAAUUGUCAAAGUGGCCCAAGUUGUAAAGUUUUAUUUUUAUUUAUUUAUUUAUUUAUUUACUUAGUUUAAAUUUUUAUGUAAAUAUUCAGUCAAAGAGUCCCAGAUAAAAAGACCUUUGACCGAAUUUCCAUAUUAAAAUAAUUAGGAGUUUUUUUUUAUUUUAGUUUUCUAAUUAGAUUAGGACUAGUUAUAAGGCCUAUUUAAAGGCAUGG